AGGCUAGCUUCCAUCUUGCUACGAAACAAAGAAACUGACGUUACGCGUUAUUAAUUUAAUAUAAAGUUAGGCGUUUAAUCGAUAAACAAAGACGUAAUAAUUGUGUUUGAAUAUCAAUCGGAAGUACACAUGCAUGUCUUUUGUGCACAGUGUGGUUUUUUAAUAAACAUGACAUAAAUCUAUGUGUUAUUCAACGUAUUGUGUGCGACGAGUUGAAGAGAGGUUUACACGGCUAGGCUUUCCGAGAUAAAUCGUAACGAAAUAGCAGACACCACACAGCGUCUCAUCUGAUUCUACGCUGUUUGCCAAGGCCGAUACUAUAAUGAAUGGAAAUGCACAAACUCAGUAACUGGCAAGCAUA